UUGGUUAAGGCGGUCCUCACGGCCAUUGCGAUUUAUCACCUGAUGCCCCUUGAGCUCCCUGUAGAAGUAAGGAAGAAAAUUGACAGCCUCAAGCGGGCAUACAUUUGGGCAGGUUGUGACAAGGUCUCUGGAGGCAAGUGUAAGGUGAACUGGGAUCUUGUCUGCAAACCCAAGAUUUUUGGGGGUUUGGGUGUGCUCAACCUGGAGAAGUUCGCAGCCGCCCUUCGUCUACGUUGGCUCUAGUUCAACUGGGAUGACCCUCCCAAGAGUUGGGUGGGAAUGGAAAUGCCAUGCUCUAACAGUGACUUAGAUCUUUUUGUUGCGGCCACAACGGUGACACUCGGUGAUGGUAAUAAGGCAAAAUUCUGGGAAUCUUCAUGGCUGAAUGGCCUUCGGCCCAAAGACAUUCGCCUAAAUUUUUUGAAAUCUCCAGAAAGAAGGCAUGUGUGGUUAGCAGGGCCCUUGACAACAACUUCUGGGUCAACCAAAUAA
rnacentral:rRNA from 1 species